UACGAAGGGGGCUAGCGUUGCUCGGAAUGACUGGGCGUAAAGGGCGCGUAGGCGGCCCGCUAAGUCGAACGUGAAAUCCCUGGGCUCAACCCAGGAACUGCGUCCGAUACUGGUGGGCUCGAAUCCGGGAGAGGGAUGUGGAAUUCCAGGUGUAGCGGUGAAAUGCGUUGAUAUCGUUCGGAACACCGAAAGCGAAGGCAGAGGACUGGGUGCCACCUGACACUACUAGGACGAAAGCGUGGGGAGCGAAUGGG
rnacentral:rRNA from 1 species